AGAGUUUGAUCCUGGCUCAGAACGAACGCUGGCGGCGUGCUUAAGACAUGCAAGUCGAACGGUAAGGCCCCUUCGGGGGUACACGAGUGGCGCACGGGUGAGUAACACGUGGGUAAUCUACCUUCGGGUCCGGGACAACUCCGGGAAACCGGGGCUAAUACCGGAUACGACUCUGGGAGACAUCUUCUGGGGUGGAAAGUUCUUCGGCUGAGGAUGGGCCCGCGGCCUAUCAGCUUGUUGGUGGGGUAAUGGCCUACCAAGGCGACGACGGGUAGCCGGCCUGAGAGGGCGACCGGCCACACUGGGACUGAGACACGGCCCAGACUCCUACGGGAGGCAGCAGUGGGGAAUAUUGCGCAAUGGGCGGAAGCCUGACGCAGCGACGCCGCGUGAGGGAUGAAGGCCUUCGGGUUGUAGACCUCUUUCAGCAGGGACGAAGCGCAAGUGACGGUACCUGCAGAAGAAGCACCGGCCAACUACGUGCCAGCAGCCGCGGUAAUACGUAGGGUGCAAGCGUUGUCCGGAAUUAUUGGGCGUAAAGAGCUCGUAGGCGGUCUGUCGCGUCGGCUGUGAAAACUCGGGGCUCAACCCCGAGCCUGCAGUCGAUACGGGCAGACUAGAGUGCUGUA
rnacentral:rRNA from 1 species